rnacentral:rRNA from 1 species
UACGUAGGGUGCAAGCGUUGUCCGGAAUUAUUGGGCGUAAAGAGCUCGUAGGCGGUUUGUUGCGUCGGCUGUGAAAUCCCGAGGCUCAACCUCGGGUCUGCAGUCGAUACGAGCAAACUAGAGUGUUGCAGGGGAGACUGGAAUUCCUGGUGUAGCGGUGAAAUGCGCAGAUAUCAGGAGGAACACCGGUGGCGAAGGCGGCGUUCUGGACUGUAUCUGACACUGAGGAACGAAAGCCAGGGGAGCAAACGGG